UACGUAGGUGGCAAGCGUUGUCCGGAUUUACUGGGCGUAAAGAGCGCGCAGGCGGCUGGUCAAGUCCGACGUGAAAUCUCCCGGCUUAACUGGGAAAUUGCAUCGGAAACUGAUCGGCUUGAAGGUGGGAGAGGGUAGCGGAAUUCCCGGUGUAGUGGUGAAAUGCGUAGAUAUCGGGAGGAACACCAGUGGCGAAGGCGGCUACCUGGCCCAUUCUUGGACGCUGAGGCGCGAAAGCUAGGGGAGCAAACGGG
rnacentral:rRNA from 1 species